rnacentral:rRNA from 1 species
UUUCGGGUCGUAAAGUUCUGUUGUUAGGGAAGAAACAGUGCCAUUUAAAUAAGGUGGCACCUUGACGGUACCUAACGAGAAAGCCACGGCUAACUACGUGCCAGCAGCCGCGGUAAUACGUAGGUGGCAAGCGUUGUCCGGAAUUAUUGGGCGUAAAGCGCGCGCAGGUGGCUAUGUAAGUCUGAUGUUAAAGCCCGAGGCUCAACCUCGGUUCGCAUUGGAAACUGUGUAGCUUGAGUGCAGGAGAGGAAAGUGGUAUUCCACGUGUAGCGGUGAAAUGCGUAGAGAUGUGGAGGAACACCAGUGGCGAAGGCGACUUUCUGGCCUGUAACUGACACUGAGGCGCGAAAGCGUGGGGAGCAAACAGGAUUAGAUACCCCGGUAGU